UUUGCAGCUAGGAGAGGUUUUGUUUGCAGCUAGGAGAGGGUUUAUUUGCAGCUAGGAGAGGUUUUGUUUGCAGCUAGGAGAGGGUUUAUUUGCAGCUAGGCGAGGUUUUGUUUGCAGCUAGGAGAGGGUUUGUUUGCAGCUAGGAGAGGCUUUAUUUGCAGCUAGGAGAGGAUUUAUUUGCAGCUAGGAGAGGGUUUGUUUGCAGCUAGGAGAGGGUUUAUUUGCAGCUAGGAGAGGUUUUGUUUGCAGCUAGGAGAGGGUUUAUUUGCAGCUAGGAGAGGUUUUGUUUGCAGCUAGGAGAGGGUUUAUUUGCAGCUAGGCGAGGUUUUGUUUGCAGCUAGGAGAGGGUUUGUUUGCAGCUAGGAGAGGCUUUAUUUGCAGCUAGGAGAGGAUUUAUUUGCAGCUAGGAGAGGAUGUGUUUGCAGCUAGGAGAGGGUUUGUUUGCAGCUAGGAGAGGGUUUGUUUGCAGCUAGGAGAGGGUUUGUUUGCAGCUAGGAGAGAGUUUGCAGCUAGGAGAUGGUGUGUUUGCAGCUAGGAGAGGUUUUGUUUGCAGCUAGGAGAGGAUUUAUUUGCAGCUAGGAGAUGGUUUGUUUGCAGCUAGGAGAGGGUUUGUUUACAGCUAGGAGAGGGUGUGUUUGCAGCUAGGAGAGGGUUUGUUUGCAGCUAGGAGAGGAUUUGUUUGCAGCUAGGAGAGGGUUUGUUUGCAGCUAGGAGAGGGUUUGUUUGCAGCUAGGAGAGGGUUUGUUUGCAGCUAGGAGAGGGUUUGUUUGCAGCUAGGAGAGGGUUUGUUUGCAGCUAGGAGAGGGUUUGUUUGCAGCUAGGAGAG